rnacentral:rRNA from 1 species
GAUCCUGGCUCAGGAUGAACGCUGGCGGCGUGCUUAACACAUUCAAGUCGAACGGACGACCCGGAGCUUGCUCCGGGAAGUUAGUGGCGGACGGGUGAGUAACGCGUGAGCAACCUGCCUGUGUGAGCGGAAUAACGUCCGGAAACAGACGCUAAUACCGCAUGACUCACGGACUUCGCAUGGAGACCGUGGCAAAGAUUUAUCGCACACAGAUGGGCUCGCGUCCGAUUAGGCAGUUGG